rnacentral:rRNA from 1 species
GACGAACCGAGCGAACGUUGUUCGGAAUCACUGGGCUUAAAGGGCGCGUAGGCGGGUGCUCAAGUCCGGGGUGAAAUCCUCCGGCUCACUGGAGAACUGCCUCGGAUACUGGGUGCCUCGAGGGUGGUGAGGGGGUAUGCGGAACUAUCGGUGGAGCGGUGAAAUGCGUUGAUAUCGAUAGGAACUCCGGUGGCGAAGGCGGCAUACUGGACCACAUCUGACGCUGAGGCGCGAAAGCCAGGGGAGCAAACGGG